UGUGUGUGUGUGUGUGUGUGUGUGUGUGUGUGUGUGUGUGGGGUCCAAUCCAAUACCCGCUGGCCGGCAGCGCAAUUAUGGGAAUGCAUAGUUUGUAUCAGACUUGAUUAUGCUGAUACCGCUUAUCUCAGUCCCGGGUAUUAGGUGGUGUUAGCCCUCGCGCUGCUUCUCAGUUAGCUCAAUUUGAAUUCUGAAAGGGAGCGCUCUUUUAUUACAAUCGUAUAGGGGAGAGUGGGGCGACUUGAUCCCCGGGGAGAUUUGAUCCCAAGCCUGUAUCUCGUCAGCAUGUGGGUAAAACAAUUAGCUUUGUUCUAGAAAGUUGUGCGAAAUUGACUAAAACUCAUUGUAGAAUACAAAGAAAAAAAAAUAAAAAAUGUUUAAAUUGAGUUACACACAUUUUUCGAAGAAGUGCUGCAAAAAACUUCCAAGAGAUCUUUUUUCUUUGUUUUGAUAAGUAUAGAAAACACUCAAAAAUUAUUCAAAAAAAUAUUUUUUAUACAUGAAUUGUUUGAUAAACAUAUCAACUCCAAAACCCUUACGCAUUUGACGUUAAAUUUAUCGUCAUACUAUUUUUACAAUCAAUUGUUUAAAAAAGUGCGUUUAGGGAGACUUGAUCCCUGCAUUUUUACAGUCACUGGAAUCAGCCUCAUGAUUAAAUAAUUUGGCUGGGUUUUCGUACAUAGUUUCCUUCAGUAUAGUUGUACAUAACUAACUGCAGUUUGAACCAUUUUUCAAAAGUUUUGUAAACAAAAUUUACCAGCUUUGUAAACAUGCUCAAUUUCGGUCUAAAAAAGAAAAUUUUAAGUUUUUAAAUAUUUUACACGCUAAACUUGUUAUAUUUUGAACACAAACGUACAGGUUUAAUUUGAAAUUGCUGUAUCUUAUAGAAAAUUAAAAGUUUGGAUAAAUAAGGAAAAUUUUGCUUGAGAUUUCUUCAAAUUGUUGAAAGGGGGAUCAAAUUACCCCCAACAUUUUGAAAAAGCCGGUUUAAAAUAUUUUUUUAAAACGCUUGGCAUUAUUCGAAGAGUUUAUCUGAUGAAAUACUCUUAUCAGCCAAACAUAGUUGAAUGUUUAAGCUUUCAAUUCAUGCAAAAAGAUCAUAGUUAUGUAAGAAAUUGACAGAGUUAUGUGCGAUACAAAAAAAGGGGAUCAAGUCUCCCCACUCUCCCCUACAUAUUCCGUUUCAAACGCAACAACCGGUUCCGUGUUCGAACCGGUUGUUGCGUUUGAAAACGGAAUUUGUGAAUGAUUCUAAUUAGAUUCCGUUUCAGGAUUCGGAUUGUUUUGACUGGGAAUUCCAGUGACCAAUUUCAGAAUGACAAAACUCCUUGCGGUCCAAUUCCGAGGUCACUAGUCACUAGGCCUCGCCUAAAGAUAGAGCAAGAACCAGACGAGUUCUCGACAUAUUUUUAAACUUCCAAUUCCAUAAGGCAAAACAGGGAUCGGCGCGUAUUGAGUAGAUAGCAUGCAAAAAUAUCUCAGUUUUCGAAAUGAUCUCACCAAAUUCUCGAAGCUCUGUUCUCUGUUGUUUUUCUUUUGUGGUAAUGAUGUACAGGUCCAGAUCAGAAAAGGUUUUCCAUCCAGCGUCGUUUCUCCGCCCAGAUGUAAUGUCCGAUUCAUUGUCCUACCAAGUAUUUUCUAUCACGAAAUUAUCAGUUUUACGAAAUAUUGUGUCGUGUUUACCUGUUGUGUAACAAGAGGAUUACAAGAUUACAAAUAAGAGUGAUAAACUGCUAAGUGGGAUGAUUAGGAACUUAUGGGGUGUAAUUGACCCACGGGACAAUUAUGCGUGAAAACACAAAAAACGGUCGAAAAAUUUCAAUCGCCUUUUUCUCAGUUGCACUUUUUUGAACAAACUAUGAAAAUUCUUUUUGUUUUAAAGAAAAAAUUAAACAAAUGUCAGAGGUCGUGAUGACUGUAACGAAUAUCAAAAACUAACCCGAUAUAUGUUCCAUAUUUACCCUUUAUCAUUCUUUUUGCUGCUAAAAGCAUUGUUGUGCCCACUGCAGGAUUCUAAUCAGGCAGACUAAACGGGAUAAAUAAUAAGCAAUAAACUCAAAACGUUAACUGUCUAGCUACGUUACUUUUUUAUAUAUAUUUCAAGUGUUGUCUGUUUUAUAUUCCAGAUUACAUGUUUAUAAAUGUCUAAUAUUGUAUGAGUUUGGAAUGGGUUCCAUUAUUUGGUUAGAUUCAGUCUGAACAGUUUUUGGCUUAUGUUUUAACCAUUAAUGAGAAUUUUCAACAUUUAGCAAUUUUCAACGUCACAGUAUUGAUAAAGUGUUAUGGUAAAUCACUAGCUCCUAAUUUAAUAUAAUUUCACGAACGACCGGUUAUUUUUGCGUUAACCUUAAUAAUAACAACAUUUAUCAAAUUUGAGACAUUUAAUAUGUUGGUUUGUUGAUUCAACUGUUAUGAUAUAUAAAAAAUAUGUCUUCCCGUAAUGAUUUACUGUUAACAAGUUUUGUAAUACUCACAAUAAAGUUCACUUAAACGCUUUCGACUAUCUGCGUUAACAUUCUACAUAUGUAUUUCACAACAACAUUCAACACGUCUGAUAAUCCUGGUAUUAUUUUUUUGUUUUUUUUAUAUAUCAUUGCUUAAACAGUUGGAUAAGCAUUUAUUUUUUGUGGUUUUUUUUUUCGUACCGUUAUCACAAAAAAGUGUACAUAGAAGUAGAAAACUUACAGUUCUUUUUUAUUUGUUUGGUAUUGUCGUAUUUGAAACUUUUGAAUGACUGCAUGGAUUAAAAACAUAAUAUUGAGGAAAAGAUUGUUUGUUUAGCAAUUUGUGAAAAAAAUCUACAUAAAUUUACUAUACAUAUCCUUGAUUUGAGGAAUAUGACUGAUCAUAGCAUAAUGUCAUUAUUUCAAAACAAAGCUGACCGAUUCUUAGCACUUGUUUACCAAGCAGUCAUUUUUUCAUGUUGAACUUUGGAUGGUUCUGAUAACAACUUUUUUAAAUAAUUGCUCACAUCAAUGGAUGGAAUGCAGAUAUUUGAUCAUUCUUAACGGAAUUUUAUAGUAAAAUGACUCUUUUAUAAGCACUCUUAUUGACAAAAGCAGAUUCUGUAGGUAUAAAAUUAUACAGGACAUUUAAAAAGGGGGUAUAUGGAAGCGUUGUCCCGUCACAAAAAAUUACAAUUGUUUAGUUUGCAAUGGUUCGUGAAAUCGGAUUUGCAUCAUAUUUUGAAUUCUCUUCGAACUCGAAAAACCCUUUAAAAUGCUUAUUAGAAAUCGAAAAUUGGUCAAAAGGAACCAGAGUUACGACUGACGCAUGUUUGCGUUGUCCCGUCACGCCAACCCAGUCAAAUCAAUCCGAAUUCUAAAACGGAAUCUAAUUAGAAUCGUAUACAAAUUCCGUUUCAAACGCAACAACCGGUUCCGUGUUCGAACCAGUUGUUGCGUUUGAAACGGAAUUUGUAUACGAUUCUAAUUAGAUUCCGUUUCAGAAUUCGGAUUGAUUUGACUGGGAUUUUUUUGGUCAAGGCACGAAUUCAAAAAAGGUGCUCAUUUCUCGCGUCCAGAAGCAAAUCGUGUAUCAGGCCAGUUUUUGAUCGUUCUAAACUAAAUCGACCCUCCUGAAUCCAAAUUUGCCUGUUGAUUUUCCUGAGCCUCAAAGGGAAGCGAGAUAUUCAAGAUGGCAUCCAAUAUGGCGGCUGAACGGAAAAACCAUACCAUAAAAGGAUUUUUAAGUCUAGUUGAUGUCAAAUUUAACUAAUUUGGGAUCGCUGAACUCGAAUACGACCUCUUGAAUACUUCAAAGUAUUCGGGAAAUGUGAAGUUCAAGAUGGCGAACCUAGAAUAUUGUAAAUUUUUAUACAGAAAUGUAACAGGCAGUCAACAGGUCAAAUUUAAUUAAUUUGGGGAUGCUGAACUCGAAUUUAAGCCUUAGAAUUUUCUCAAGUCCUUAGAACAGUUUGUGUGGCAUAAUGCCGAAUAUGGUGACAAAUAAAUAAAUAGUUACUCAGGGAACGCAAUUAAAUUUGCUAGCUUCGCCAUAUUUGCCGCCAUCUUGGAUUAUACAUUCCCUGAAUACUUUGGAGUGUUAUAUGGCUCAUAUUUGAGCUCAGCAACACCAAAUUAAUUAAAUUUGACCCGUUGAUUGCCGGUUACAACCCUGAAAAAUGGAUUGCACAUUCCCUGAGUAUUUUGGAAUAUUCUAGGGCUCAUAUUCGAGUUUAGCAACCCUUAGUUGAAUUUGACCUGUCAUAUUCGAGCUCAGCGACCAUAAAUUAGUUAAAGUUGACUAGUCAGUAGAGAUUUUCACAAUUGCUUCAUUUCGUGACGGGACAACGCGAGCAAACUCCUCUUUUAAAAAAUAUCUGCGUUGUCCCGUCAUUAAAAGAAGUACCUGUCAAAUCAACAAAAUUAAACGAAAUUGGGUGAUCUAGGAAGCAAAAUCUUCGUUUUUCAUUUUAGAAACAACUGUAGGAAAAGGUUUUUUUCAAAAACUUACUAGGAGAGCAGAGUUAUUCACUAUUGUGUAUAAAAAUCAAAAUGAUCCAAUUGUACGAUGUUGUCCCUUCACGCUACAUUUGACUCAAACUUUGUGUUUUUAAAUGUUUGCUGGAGUGAAUCUUAUUGGAAAUUUAAUGUACUUUCCAAAUUUGUAUAAAUAUUUGUACCUUUUCCCACAGAUUUUAAAGUUAUCAGCAAAAAAACUGAAAACAUAUGCGUACAAACGUUGUCCCGUCACGAAAGAAUCGGUCAGCUUCGUUUACGAUAGGCUAAAAUGGAAUACAGUGAAACCUCUUUUUUCGCGGUGGCGUUACGCUUUUUAUUUCGUCGAUUUCUCUGGAACGACGCAACAUUUUUGCAAUCUUUCAAAAGCAAUUUGUAGGUUUUGUUCAGCUCUACAGAAUGCUUUUUGAAGCUUGCAAAAAUAUUGUGUAGUUUAAGAGCAAUCGACGAAACAAAAAGCGUAACGCCACCGCGUGAAAAGAGGUUUCUCUGUACCGGUUUGCUAUAUUUUUACCGGAUCAGCUGGAUAUCUGAAAUAAGGCUGGGCCCAAGAUAUUCUACUAAACUUCCUAACGGGUUGCACCCAUAGCAGAACACCGGGAAUAUUAUGCUCUGGAUUUGGAUCAACUAAUUGGAUCAACUAAAGGUAUGAAACACUGAACAUGAACGAAAAAUCAAAGUCGCGUGAGUCUGGGUUCGAUACCCCGUCUUUUGGAUUGGUUAGCAAAAAUGCUGACCACUAGGUCAUCGCGGAAGUUCUAAAUAUCGUUUGAAUCCGAUUGAUGCAAACGUUCUUCAGGGCGGGGCUUAUCGAUAAAAGCUGCACAGAAAAAAAAUGAUGGUUAUAUUCAUCAGGAAAUGUUGACAGAUUUUGUGGCUAAAAAAAUGAUGAAUUUUACCCCAGAAAAAGAUGAAUUUUCAUCAGUUUUUGAUGGAUAUUCAUCAGGUUCACAUUUUUACACAUUUUUUAUGUAAUAUUACUCAAAAAAGAGGUAAUAUUCAACCUACCAAAUUUUCAACAUUCCAAAAUUAAACACUUUUUUUCUGUGUGAGGUACCUCGCGCUUUCAGAUUGUCUAUGAUGGUUCUUAAUAAAGAGCCCAAAAAAAGUAAAUUGAUUUGAUUUUGAUUUGAUGGGAUAACCAACAGGGCCACAAGGAUGACCUAUGUAGCGGUUGCCUAGAAUUACAGUGGCUCAGACUUAAAAGAAGCAUCUUCAAAUUACUGCCGUAUGAAGGGCCAAAAGGGGAUGGUUGGACGCGAACAAGCAAAAUCACUCACGGUCUCCUCAGGGGAAGAGAAUCUCCUUCCGACAGUCACCUCCAAUAACUCCAAAAAAAGUCUGACAAAGCUGAAAAACAGGGCUCGCACCUUGUUGGGGGCCUAAAAGGGCGCGGCAGACAGCUGGAAACUGACAGAAGUCAGUAAGUGCAGUAAUAAGAGCCCAGAAAAAGUAAAUUGAGGUGAAAAACAAAUCACUAUAUGUUCAAUGCUCAUAAAAACAUAAUAAUGCGAGAUGGACCAACUAUGGUCUCAGCAGUCGUAUGACAGAAACAAAAAAAAAUUAAAAAAAUAAUGUAGAAAGGCAUUUUUUUUUUAUUAAUGUAUUUUCUGAGUCAACUAACAUGGCUGCCAAAUGGCCAACCGGGAAUAAUACUUUUCAAAGCCUCCCAGUUAACUCAAUCCGAAUUCUGACCGUGUUCGAACCGGUUGUUGCGUUUGAAACGGAAUUUGUGUACGAUUCUAACUAGAUUCCGUUUCAGAAUUCGGAUUGAUUUGACUGGGCUUAAGCGGUACCGAGAAAUUAAAAGUGAGAGUGUGUGCAACAUGGAGUUAAACUUUCUGUGCAGUUGCUGUGAAGGUUCCCAUGACACUUCGAAAAGUUUAACUCCAUGUGGCACGCACACACUCUCCCAUUUAAUUUCUCGAUACGCAAUAGACAAAUCCAGCGAAAGCUCAACGCUGCUUUUUGAUGGUGAGAGAUUUGACAGCUCCCAUACUAAAUGUCUCGAUUUUCAUACUUUUUGUUAAUUUUCUUCUAAAAUAAAAUACUUAACAUAUGAAAACUAUAUAUUUUUGGUGCCCAAAAUUCCUGCUGAAUCGAAUGGUGUACUUAUCUCAAUUGCAAAUUUUUCGAACAGUUUUUUUUUUUAAUAAUAUUCUAGACACAUUUUGUGCACCUAAUCAAUCAAUACUUUUAUCAUAAAUAAUAAUUUUAUUGCUUAAAAAAUGAGUUUUCCUGAGCUCCCAUAUUCAAAUACAUGGAAGCUGUCAUUUCUAACACCAUUGGCCACCUAGCGGCCAUUUCAAACUGGAUACGUCUAUUCCAAAGGAACCGGUCAAGAAAAAUUUCAAAUGGGCAGCAGUGGCUGCAGAAGCAAGCCAGAGAAGGUGAAGAAAAGCCCUAAGAAAUCGUUCCCUCUCCUUUAUUCUGCUGUUCGUAAAGCCAUUUCUUGACCCCUUUUCUUGGCCCUUAAUCUGUGAACCAAUGAUUCUUUAUAGCCCAAUCUCACCCCCAGACCCAAGGACGGGGGCCCAGUUAAGAGGUUUCGACAUCAACGAAGUGCGACUAGAAAAAUUAAAACAAAAAAUUUAAUGGUGAAUGAUACCACCUACUCGCGCUCUCUAAUUAACAAUCUGUCUUUUUUAAGAUAAUUGUACACGGUUGUAUAACAUUUCCAGAGUUUUUUUAAAGGUCCUAAAACAUAUAAAACAACACUUUAUAAGACCUUUAAAAAUAAAUCUAGAUUUCAAAAUGUAUCAAUCCAACCACACCGUGUGAUGAUGAAACUAAUAAUUUAAAUAUCUGUUCAGAAUAAACCACGUUUCUCUGGGCCACAGGCUUGUGAGAUUUUAUUAUUCACGAAAUCUUAACAUAGGUACCAUCACACAGGAAACUAUAACUUACUGCAAAGUAAAUGCACUGUGUAUAAUAGAUUUUUUUUUGAAUCAGUCAAUUACAAACUAUUGUUAUGGUGCCGAAACAAAAAAUCCUUAAGACAUAUUUUCAUCUAUUGAUUGUAAAACAAUAGGGGUACAAUCCACUUGUUUUGUUUUUUUCCUUAUCAGCGUAUGGCUAUUACUACACAGUGUACUUAAAUUUAGAAUAAGCUUCAACAAAUGUAGUGUCUCAGCGGCUAGAUUAUUAUUCAAUAAUCUAAAACCUAAAUAAAACCUGAAAGUUUUAUCAUUUCAAAUAGUUAUUGGCAUCAACUUGAAAACCAGGCUAUUCUAAAGUAUGUAAAUGAAUCGGCAAAAAAUAGUUGUAAAAAAGGGCAAAAAGAGAUUUCCAAGACCUGUGGAUUUAUUACGAAAUUUACCUUGGGAUCUUUUCGAGGGUGUAUAAAAAAGUAUUAUAAAGGAGUGUGCAUGGAGAUGAAUGUGUGAGUGCUAAUAUUGAAAUAUGGCAAAUAAUAGACUAUUUUCUAGUUCUGACGAGGUGUAAUGCAUUGUAAAACAUAAUUGACCAUCUAUGAUGUAAUGCAAGGGGCCUGAUUGUAGGUUCAUCACUUGCUCAGUUCAGAUCAAUAGAGUUAUCUGCGUGCGCAUGUAUUGCGUGUUCGUACACAUAAAAGGGAGCGCGAUAGUGUGCGUACGCGAAACGUAGUCGUAAAGCCUUGCGUGAAGCUCUUUUUCAAUCGUGGACCCGAGUCAGCAAUUGGUCAUUCACUGGGUCCUUUGAUUAUUUUUAUCGACUACCGUUACGCACAAUUGUCGCAUGUUAAAAAAGUGCAACUGGAAUAACGCGGUUGAUUUUUUUUUGUAUGAAUAUUUUGACGAAAAAAAUUCAAAAGGAACAAAAGGGACACUUUCUGAACUAUUGCAUAGCUCGGGUGAGUUUUCAAUAAGCCCUAAGAGCCACCGUGACUUCCGACACUAAUUUUUGUUUUUCUCCAAAUUUAAACAAUAUUUCAUUUGUUUCAAGUUUAGCGCAUUUGAAUGACGUGUAGAUGAAAAAUCUCAAGCAUUUUUGAAAAUACUUUUUCGUAAGUACUUCGAUUACCGAUGCAAAAAGGGUUUGCAAAUGGAAACGAAACGAAACUAUUGGCACUACGCCCCCCGGGGCAUGGCCUUCCUCUAACGUGGGAUUUCUGCUCCAGCGCCUCUGACGAGACAGGAGAAACCGGGACCGACGUUUUACUUCACCAUCCGAUAGAAGCUCAGUGGAUAAGGCGGGAAUCGAACCCGCGUCUCAUAGCAUCAUCGGGAUCGGCAGCCGAAGCCGCUACCCCUGCGCCACGAGACCCAAAUGGCUCUUACGUAUUUUGAAAACUAAUCCGAGAUAGGUAUAGAGGAGAAAAGCAACUCGCGACAAAAUUUUGAGGCUAGGAAUUUUGACAGGUAUGAUUUUCAUAAAGUAUUCACCUCCUUUUCUCUCCCACAGAAAACUGGAGACAAGGUAGCUGUCAAUAGAGGAGAAAAGCAACUCGCGACAAAAUUUUGAGGCUAGGAAUUUCGACAGGUAUGAGUUUCAUGAAGUAUUCGCCUCCUUUUCUCUCCCGUAGAAAACUGGGGACAAUGUAGCUGUCAAACUAGGCCAAACUGUUAAAGUCACUCACAAAAUGAACUUUGAGUGAUUUGAGUUCAUUUCUGACGUCACGAUUUUCUCCUCUAUCUAGGCCAAAAUGUUAAAGUCACUCACAAAAUGAACUUUGAGUGAUUUGAGUUCAUUUCUGACGUCACAAUUUUCUACUCUAUAGAGGAGAAAAUCGUGACGUCAGAAAUGAACUCAAAUAACUCAAAGUUCAUUUUGUGAGUGACUUUAACUUUUUGGCCUAGUUUGACAGCUACAUUGUCCUAAGUUUUCUGUGGGAGAGAAAAGGAGGCGAAUACUUUAUGAAAAUCAUACCUGUCAAAAUUCCUAGCCUCAAAAUUUUGUCGCGAGUUGCUUUUUUCCUCUAUUCUGAAAAAAAAACAUAAGCUACUUUUCCAACCAAAAAUGAGAAAAAGUUACUUCAGUAAAGUUUGUUUAUAUAUCAAGUAAUACAGUCCAGACUCAAUUAUCCGAAGCCUCGAUUAUCCGAAGCUUCGAUUUUACGAAGUUCGAUUAUCCGAUGGUUUGUGUUACAAUAAAGAAUAACGCGAGACACGAACGACAUUUAUUCAAGAAACUAAACAAAUUAUAAUAUAAAGAACGAACGAGCCGUGCACUGGCUGUGUGCCACGGUAGACGGUGUAACAAGAAGACUCUUUUAUUUUUAGGUUUUACGCCGACUCGAUUUGGAGGUUAGAAUCAUAGAAUAGAGAUAGGUAGAAUUGCCACUCAUUUACCGACCGGGGGACAAAACUGUGCUGCCUAACUGAUGCCAGCGGCGAAACGGGGAACUACAACACCCUGCGCAUAAUACUGUCAAGAAUGUGGAGAACUGGUUGGCACAUAUAUAUUAUUCAUUAAACAUUUAAAAUGAUUGAAAUCAUGGAAAACAAAUCAAAACAAUUAUGAAAAUUCAAGAUAAAUGCAUCCAUUAACUAGGAUAUUUCUUUUAAAAGAAGAUUAAAUUACUUGUAUUUCGUAUCAGCAUCCUUUUUUUUCAAAAUUUCAAGAAUAUGCCAAAUAAGUUGACAUCCCGCAUAAUCAAAAACCAUCGAGGGAAUAGUCCAAACUAUAUUACUACUAAAAGAGAUGUAGUUACCACAUACUUAACCAUUAUCAUAUAGUUACGGCACUAUACAAAACCAUAACGAAACUGAUCGUCAAAUGAUGACGUUUUUAUUGAAGUAAAUCUAAUGAUUCUAACUAUUUUUGAACUAUUUGGGGUACAAUAACCUUACACUAAACAGUUCGGAUUGUUUAGAUAACGUGACUCAACGAAAAAAUGUACAAGUCCAAAUAGUUCAAACAAUUUAUCAACUUUAUUGAGAACAAUAUAGCAAAAUUCCACAGAUUUUAGAUUUUUAUAGUCAGAACCUGUAAGAACUAAAAACCUACUAUAAAUGCUAUAGUAGAACACAAUUGAUGGCGGCCACAUUUUUUUCGAUAAGUUUGUAUAAUCCAAAUAAUUUGUCAACUUACAUGAAGUAAAAUUACUAUACACCAUACUAUUUUGAAUUAAAAAUUUCUACAAGUCCAAAUAGUUCAAACAAUAUUUCAACAGUAUGGAGUACAAUUACAGUUUGUUAUAUAAUCCAACUAUAUGUUAAACGAUUGGUACAAAAAUUUCAACUUUUAUCAAGUAAAUUGAUCACAGUCGAUUCCUCUGGAUGAUAGAGAACCUUCAACACCCCCACUUCUCCUCAGGUUAUCAGAAAACUCCCCAAAAGAAGAAAAAUGUUACGAGGGCUCAUGAAAUUGACUUUCACUAUUCCAGAAAAAGUAGGCAUGCUGUUCUUACCAUACACCAAAAAUAUGUGUACUACAUGGUGGACUAUUACUGUUCACUAUAAAAUGAGUCAAUUGUUUGGACUACUUGGACUUAUCGAAAAAUACUUGCCCCCGAGCUUGCUCCCUUCUAACACAACAUGUCACCAAAACCACUGAAAAACCACCAACAGAUAUAGAUCAAUCGGAUAAGGCGGCAGCAGUUCGGCAGCAACGUAAAUAACAUCACAUAUAAUGGCGGUAAACAUUCACCAACUAUCGAUAGAACUUAAAAAUCAAAUUUGAUUAUAUCCGAAGUAGUUAUCACAACAAUUGUAGGGUUCAUUUUUGCGGUCUUUUUUAAAGUGUCGGCAAAGUAGUGUCGGUAAAGUAGUUUUUCAGAAACUAUAUAGGGAAUAGUCAAUUUUUUGGGCAAUGACUAUUUGACGUAAAAUCCAAGUUUAUAAAAAUAUUUACAUAUGUAUGAAAACCUCAUAUAGUUUUCUGCCUAACAACUAAUUUCUCAUAUAGUAAAAUCAACCAAAACUAUUUUGGGAAUGGAAUUAAUGGUUUGAUAUAUCGUACGUAUAUAGUUGGGUUACAAUUUAAUGAAUAGUAGAGACCAUUUGAUAAAUAGUUAAGUAACUAUUUGUCAUAAAGUAGUUAUAUAGUUCAUGACUAUGCGGGAUCCGUUUUCACUUCUCCAAAACAUCUGUUUUGUCAUAUUGACAUUUCGCUGUUGCUGUCAAACCAGGUGAAGAAUCGGAGGAGGAAAAGGCUAUUUUGCCGUUACGGAAUGAAGAAAAGUGAUUGUGGUGUUCCAGCUUGAAAAUUCCGAGGAAGAAACCCGGCAACGCCGUGUGAGGCACAGUGCUUCCGGCGGCGCUCGUUGGAUUUUGCAGUUUCGGAGUGAAGAAAAGUGGUCGUGGAGCGCUGGUGGAGGUUCUGAGGAAGAAACCACUUUGUUCCACUCACUCGCUUCUCGUCGACCAACCUGACCAGCAAGGCCACCGCACUCCAAUUUUAAACGCAAUUGUGCCCAAUCCUGACGUUCAACCGCCUCCACUGGUCUCGUCUUUUCAUCCAGCUUCCAAGCACCAUUUCACUUUUUUGAUCGCCAACUGAAUGUCAACAAGCCUUUUUUUUCAAUCUGUCACUGUCAAACAAAACGCACCCUCCAGAAUGCACAGGGCAGUUCCAUCAAAAAGCCCAGUGCGCAUUUCGACUGAAGUUCCCCGUUUCGAACAGUGGUGGCGCUGUCGGCAGUGUCGCUUGACGUUUACAAGGGGGAAUCGGCAAGUGGCAAUUCUACCUAUCUCUAUUCUAUGAUAAUA